rnacentral:rRNA from 1 species
UUUGUCUUUAUGGCAAAUUUGAGAUGCAGUGUAUGGAAUGUCAAAUUUCUAAUAUGAGAAAUUAACGAUUUAAGUCCUUCUUAAAUGAGGCCAUUUACCCAUAGAGGGUGCCAGGCCCGUAUAACGUUAAUGAUUAUUAGAUGACAUUUCCAAAGAGUCGUGUUGCUUGAUAGUGCAGCACUAAGUGGGUGGUAAACUCCAUCUAAAACUAAAUAUAACCAUGAGACCGAUAGUAAACAAGUACCGUGAGGGAAAGUUGAAAAGAACUCUGAAUAGAGAGUUAAAUAGUACGUGAAACUGCUUAGAGGUUAAGCCCGAUGAACCUGAAUAUCAAUUAUAGAAAAUUCAUCAUUAUGAUUUUAAUAUAUUAUAAUAAUGGUGUGCAUUUUUUCUAUAAAAUGACAUUGUAAUCUAUUAACAUAAAAUUUUAACAAAUAUUUAUCAUAAGGUCAGCGUAAGUUUAUUCGAAUUAUUUUGCUUGCAAUUUAACAUAGAAUAAAUGCUUUUGAUUUGAUAAAGUGUUGAUAGAUUUAACAUAUAGUGCUUAAAUAAUAUUUUAUAAUGUUAUUAACAUUAUAUGCACUUAUAUGAUUCACAAUGCGAAAGAUUCAGGAUACCUUCGGGACCCGUCUUGAAACACGGACCAAGGAGUCUAACAUAUUUGCAAGUUAUUGGGUAAACCUAAUAGCGAAAUUAACAUAACUUAAUGGGAUUAGUUUUUAGUCUAUUAAUUCAAUCCCGGGGCGUUCUAUAUAGUUAUGUAUAAUAAUAUUUAUAUUGUUUAUACCUCUAACUAGAGCGUACCUUGAGCAUAUAUGCUGUGACCCGAAAGAUGGUGAACUAUACUUGAUCAGGUUGAAGUCAGGGGAAACCCUGAUGGAAGACCGAAACAGUUCUGACGUGCAAAUCGAUUGUCAGAAUUGAGUAUAGGGGCGAAAGACCAAUCGAACCAUCUAGUAGCUGGUUCCCUCCGAAGUUUCCCUCAGGAUAGCUGGUGCAUUAAAAGAUUAUGUAAAAUAAUCUUAUCUGGUAAAGCGAAUGAUUAGAGGCCUUAGGGUCGAAACGAUCUUAACCUAUUCUCAAACUUUAAAUGGGUAAGAACCUCACCUUUCUUGGUAUGAAGGUCGUGGUUGUGAUAUAAUGUGCCCAGUGGGCCACUUUUGGUAAGCAGAACUGGCGCUGUGGGAUGAACCAAACGUAAUGUUACGGUGCCCAAAUUAACAACUCAUGCAGAUACCAUGAAAGGCGUU